ensembl:lncRNA
GUUUAGAAAGCUGUGAAAUUGGAUAUUGAGAUGCUCUCCGGAGUAGUUUCAGACUAGACUGUGGGAAUCGUCUAAUCCGAUCACCGGGAAGAUCCAGAGUGAAGAGUCUGAUUAAAUAAUCAUUGGAGUGGCGGCGUGCGUGCAGCUUCUCCCCCUGCUCCUCACCUUGGGGACAUAUUGUCCCCUGUCACUGAAACCUCGGGGACAGAAGGCUCCGCCGUGGGGAGGCUCAGCAGGGGAGCGAGGGGCUGAUGAAACGAAGAUGGGGUAAUGAAGGCAUGGCCCAUGGCUUCCGUGGCUCCGCCAUAUGUUUCACCAAAUGCAAAUUGCCCCCAAUUCAAACAACUUUUUCAUCUUGAUAUAUGCAAAUGUGUUUAUAAAUACUGGCUUAUAAAUAUAGCAUUACAGUUUUUAAGGGGGGAGCUUUGAGCCCCUCCCUCCCCGUCGCUCUGCUGUUGUCAUGUGUGUGGCGCAGCGUGACAGACUUUAACGAACGGGCUCGGACCUGGCAGCGCCUAAUGGCGUCCUGGGGGACAGGAAGUGAGGGGGUCAGAGGGAGGGGAGCGCCGCCCGGGCUGUGAACCAAUAAGAGCGGCCCCCGUGAACGCCUGGUCCAAUUAAAAAAUCUGCCUGGUUAUCAUACAAGCCAAUGGCGGAUCCAAGGGGGCACGUUUACAAAGCGAGUGCGAGAGGGCUGGCGGGGGGCCCUCCCAUGUCGGGGGUGCAGUCAGGAGUCAGGAGUCAGUCGGCGCGGCGAUGAUCAGAUUGUCACAGUCCCGCUGGUUCCCUCGGAGACGCCACCUGAGAAGGCGCCUGUGCCAACAUCUUCAUCAACACCCGCGGCAACAGCAGCUGGACCGGGUCGCGUGGCCAAGUGGGUCAGACCUCACUGAGGGUGGAGAGGGCGUCAUCCACAGUGGUGCAUCAUGGGACAGCCCGAGGGCAUAUUAGAGUUUUUUUUGGCAAAUCCCUUGGUGAACUUCUGAAGUUUUUUUUUUCUUGGUAGGCUUUAUCUAGUUGUGACUGUAAGUUCACGGGCAGAGAGCUCAGGUCAGCUGGUACUGCUCAUCGCAGGCCGCGUUUAAAAGCCGUUGCCGGUGGUCCACGUGCACAAAACCAUUUGGCUUUUCUUAAAAGAAAAAAACGGUGCUUUUUAAAAUCUUGCACAAAAUGUUUUAGUGCUUCAAAUACUACUGAUGUUGUCAAAUAAAUGUAGUGGUGUAAAAGGACAAUAUUUGACUCUAAAACAAAGUGGAGAAUAAAACCGAAAGUUGCACGAAACCAUAUCAAACUCUCUAUCAAACCCCUGAUAAUUGAAAUUCAGCACACUACUUGAGUAAUGACUUAUUUCCCUCCAUUGUGUGCAGGUGGCAGCUAUUAAAUAAUCUCCCAAGUUGCCCAGCUGAUCUGAUCUGACGGAUGAGUUUUGCUGGUUACUGUUACCUGGUUCAGUCAUUAGGACCACUACAUUCGGGGGGGAAAACUGGAGUGGAAGUGGC